AACGAACGCUGGCGGCGCGCCUAAUACAUGCAAGUCGAGCGAGAAGGUGUAGCAAUACACUUGUAAAGCGGCGAACGGGUGAGGAAUACAUGGGGUAAUCUACCAUCGAGUGGGGAAUAACCAACCGAAAGGUUGGCUAAUACCGCGUACGCCUCCGGAUCUUCGGGGUUCGGAGGGAAAGCUGCACUGUGAGUGUAGCGCUCUUUGAUGAGCUCAUGUCCUAUCAGCUUGUUGGUAGGGUAACGGCCUACCAAGGCUUUGACGGGUAGCUGGUCUGAGAGGACGAUCAGCCACACUGGCACUGCGACACGGGCCAGACUCCUACGGGAGGCAGCAGUAAGGAAUAUUGCGCAAUGGGCGAAAGCCUGACGCAGCGACGCCGCGUGGGGGGAUGAAGGUCUUCGGAUUGU
rnacentral:rRNA from 1 species